rnacentral:rRNA from 1 species
ACCUUUUGUAUAAUGGGUCAGCGACUUAUAUUCUGUAGCAAGGUUAACCGAAUAGGGGAGCCGAAGGGAAACCGAGUCUUAACUGGGCGUUAAGUUGCAGGGUAUAGACCCGAAACCCGGUGAUCUAGCCAUGGGCAGGUUGAAGGUUGGGUAACACUAACUGGAGGACCGAACCGACUAAUGUUGAAAAAUUAGCGGAUGACUUGUGGCUGGGGGUGAAAGGCCAAUCAAACCGGGAGAUAGCUGGUUCUCCCCGAAAGCUAUUUAGGUAGCGCCUCGUGAAUUCAUCUCCGGGGGUAGAGCACUGUUUCGGCAAGGGGGUCAUCCCGACUUACCAACCCGAUGCAAACUGCGAAUACCGGAGAAUGUUAUCACGGGAGACACACGGCGGGUGCUAACGUCCGUCGUGAAGAGGGAAACAACCCAGACCGCCAGCUAAGGUCCCAAAGUCAUGGUUAAGUGGGAAACGAUGUGGGAAGGCCCAGACAGCCAGGAUGUUGGCUUAGAAGCAGCCAUCAUUUAAAGAAAGCGUAAUAGCUCACUGGUCGAGUCGGCCUGCGCGGAAGAUGUAACGGGGCUAAACCAUGCACCGAAGCUGCGGCAGCGACGCUUAUGCGUUGUUGGGUAGGGGAGCGUUCUGUAAGCCUGUGAAGGUGUGCUGUGAGGUAUGCUGGAGGUAUCAGAAGUGCGAAUGCUGACAUAAGUAACGAUAAAGCGGGUGAAAAGCCCGCUCGCCGGAAGACCAAGGGUUCCUGUCCAACGUUAAUCGGGGCAGGGUGAGUCGACCCCUAAGGCGAGGCCGAAAGGCGUAGUCGAUGGGAAACAGGUUAAUAUUCCUGUACUUGGUGUUACUGCGAAGGGGGGACGGAGAAGGCUAUGUUGGCCGGGCGACGGUUGUCCCGGUUUAAGCGUGUAGGCUGGUUUUCCAGGCAAAUCCGGAAAAUCAAGGCCGAGGCGUGAUGACGAGGCACUACGGUGCUGAAGCAACAAAUGCCCUGCUUCCAGGAAAAGCCUCUAAGCAUCAGGUAACAUCAAAUCGUACCCCAAACCGACACAGGUGGUCAGGUAGAGAAUA